UUUAAUGAGAGUUUGAUCCUGGCUCAGGACGAACGCUGGCGGCGUGCCUAAUACAUGCAAGUAGAACGCUGAAGUCUGGUGCUUGCACUAGACGGAUGAGUUGCGAACGGGUGAGUAACGCGUAGGUAACC
rnacentral:rRNA from 1 species